CCAAAUUCUACCACAAAUAAUUUACAUCUACAACUCACAAAUCAUCCUCUUAGUAUAAACUGGUCAACUUCUAUUUGGAUUUAAACUAUUUUUCUUAGGAAAUCCACCAUUCAAACACCACUUCCUCUCUCUAACGGUUGUUACAUUUUUAUAUUAUAAUUCACAGUAUCGAUUUAUAUCCUUAAAUCAGAUUUUUAUGUUCUUUAAUACUUU
rnacentral:lncRNA from 1 species